rnacentral:rRNA from 1 species
UCCAGACUCCUACGGGAGGCAGCAGUGAGGAAUAUUGGUCAAUGGGCUUACGCCUGAACCAGCCAAGUCGCGUGAGGGAAGACUGCCCUAUGGGUUGUAAACCUCUUUUGUCAGGGAGCAAUUGGCGCUACGUGUAGCGUUAUCGAGAGUACCUGAAGAAAAAGCAUCGGCUAACUCCGUGCCAGCAGCCGCGGUAAUACGGAGGAUGCGAGCGUUAUCCGGAUUUAUUGGGUUUAAAGGGUGCGCAGGCGGUCUGUUAAGUCAGCGGUCAAAGCCGGGGGCUCAACCCCGGUCCGCCGUUGAAACUGGCAGUCUUGAGUUGGAGAGAAGUAUGCGGAAUGCGCGGUGUAGCGGUGAAAUGCAUAGAUAUCGCGCAGAACUCCGAUUGCGAAGGCAGCAUGCCGGCUCCACACUGACGCUGAGGCACGAAAGCGUGGGUAUCGAACAGGAUUAGAUACCCGGGUAC